rnacentral:rRNA from 1 species
CCUACGGGUGGCAGCAGUGGGGAAUAUUGCGCAAUGGGCGAAAGCCUGACGCAGCGAAGCCGCGUGAGGGAUGAAGGUCUUCGGAUCGUAAACCUCUGUCAGCAGGGAAGAACGGUCACUGUGCUAAUCAGCAUUGAAUUUACGAUACCUGCAAAGGAAGCACCGGCUAACUCCGUGCCAGCAGCCGCGGUAAUACGGAGGGUGCGAGCGUUAAUCGGAAUUACGGGGCGUAAAGCUCUCGUAGGCGGUAUGUCAACUCAAGGGUGAAAUCCCCGGGCUCAACGUGUGAACUGCCUUUGAAACUGGUAAACUGGAGUGUGUGUGAGGAUAGUGGAAUGCCAGGUGUAGGAGUGAAAUCCGUAGAUAUCUGGAGGAACAUCAGUGGCGAAGGCGACUAUCUGGCACAUAACUGACGCUGAGGAGCGAAAGCGUGGGUAGCAAACAGGAUUAGAUACCCCAGUAGUC